GACAGAGGUCUCGAGCGUUAUGGCGGAAUCACUGGGCUUAAAGCGUGUGUAGGUGGACGUGCCCUAAGUACCUUGUGAAAUCCCACGGCUUAACCGUGGAACUGACUUGGUAUACUGGGUGUCUUGAGCCAGCUAGGGGCUACCGGAACAAAUGGUGGAGCGGUGAAAUGCGUAGAUAUCGCUUGGAACGCCAAUGGUGAAAACAGGUAGCUGGGGGUGUGCUGACACUGAGACACGGAAAGCCAAGGGAGACAAACGGG
rnacentral:rRNA from 1 species